GAAAGUAUCUCAGUCUUGCAAUUGAUAGGUCUUGCAAGAUAAGGACUAGCAGCAUCUGGUAGUUUGGUAAAAGUGUAAAAUCUCAGGCCCUUCUAGACUUACUGCAUUUGAACAAGAUCCCAGAGGACUUAUAUCCCCUUUAGAUUGAGAAUCACUAUUCCAGAGGCCUGAUCUUUAGUCUAUCAUUCCAUAACAAUAAUUUGUUUUUAUUUAGAUCAUAUGUUUACAAGGAGCCUUGAGAUGUGGGCCAGGGAUGGUUAAGGAGAUAAAACCUUUGAUUCAUCUCCACAUCACCUUUCCAAGUUUCAUGCCUCCAACCAGUUCCUUUAUGUGAAAUCAUUUCCAAGAAAGAGAAAGAGAAUGGAGAGAAUGCAGAGGAUUUGCUCUGAAGUUACUUUAUCUACUUAAAGAAGAGACCCAACUGAAAGAUAAUUGUUUUUGAUCUCCUCCCCGAAGUUAACUACGGAAGAUUAAACUCAUAAAUCAGAAGGGAAGCCUGAGGCAUGUCACCACACACUAACAGAAUUUGGUCUUCAAUACAAAUCCUGCUUCCAGACAGAAUCAUUUACAAACUAACUUCUACACUUUGGGCCCACUCAUUUCUCAUGAAAAUCAUUUACUCCACCUCGAAAGUGCUUGCAGUCCCUACUCCACUUUGCCUUAUGAAGAGGGUAUUUAAGCUUCAAUCAUCUGGCCUUUCUCUGAGUUGGUUAUUGUAUGAUUACCCUAUACAUGGGCACAGUAAUAAAUUUCUAGGCUUUUA